UAUUAGAGCAACCUCGAUUAAUGGUUUCAGA
rnacentral:piRNA from 1 species